GGAAGGAUGGCCGAGUGGUUAAGGCGUGUGACUCAAGUUGUGACAACUUACCUGUGCAACAGGUUUCUCAUCACGUAAUGUGGCGUGGGUUCGAAUCCCACUCCUUUCA